UACGAGAGGUGCAAGCGUUAUUCGGAAUCAUUGGGCGUAAAGGGUGCGUAGACGGUAUGUUUAGUCUGUUGUUAAAUCUUUCGGCUUAACCGAAAAUCUGCAAUGGAAACUGGCAUGCUAGAGUAUGGAAGAGAUAAGUGGAAUUCUUGGAGUAGCGGUAAAAUGCGUAGAUCUCAAGAGGAACACCGAUGGCGAAGGCAGCUUAUUGGUCCAUUACUGACGUUGAGGCACGAAAGCGUGGGGAGCAAACAGG
rnacentral:rRNA from 1 species